rnacentral:piRNA from 1 species
UAGAUGUAUGGGUAGAUAGUUGCAG